rnacentral:rRNA from 1 species
UACGGAGGGUGCAAGCGUUAUCCGGAUUCACUGGGUUUAAAGGGUGCGUAGGUGGGCAAGUAAGUCAGUGGUGAAAUCUCCGGGCUUAACCCGGAAACUGCCAUUGAUACUAUUUGUCUUGAAUACUGUGGAGGUCAGCGGAAUAUGUCAUGUAGCGGUGAAAUGCUUAGAUAUGACAUAGAACACCAAUUGCGAAGGCAGCUGGCUACACAAAUAUUGACACUGAGGCACGAAAGCGUGGGGAUCAAACAGGGA